AGAGGAAGAGGAUUUCGUUUCCAAGAAAUGUUAGCGAUGCAGACAGUUGCAGUACGGCUUCAUCUUCUACAGUUGAAAAAGGCCAUUUUGUAGUAUAUACAGUCGAUCAAGCACGAUUUGUCAUUCCAUUGGUUUACCUUGAAAAUGAGAUCAUUAGGCAACUCUUGAACAUGUCUGAAGAAGAAUUUGGGCUGCCGAGUGGUGGUCCUAUUACAUUACCCUGUGAUUCAGCCUUCAUGGACUACAUCAUUUCGCUAAUCAAGAAAGGCAUAACUGCUGGAGAUCUUCACAAAGCUUUGCUCCUAUCAAUUCCUUCUUCUUGCUGUUCGACUUCUUCUUUGCACCGAGAAAGUGGAAACCAACAGCUUCUUGUUUGUUGAGUCAUAAUACAUGCUAGCUGAAAAUAGUUUUUAGAUAGGGCAUACACUGAUGAACACAAUUGUAAAGCUAUUCAUACAGAUUGAAUAUUAUUUUAUCAAGAGAAAAUUUACCAAUUAGACAGCUUUCACUUUUACAUUUGUUCAUGAGAAGACUUUAACAAUCUAAUCCUCCAGUGGUACCUCUUAUGUAUUAACACUACUUUUUUUAUCGCACGCAUUUCACUUACUGCAGUACCUCCUUGAUCCAAUGAGGUCUAAAUGAUCAAUCAAUCAAAUAUGCCUCCUUUUAUGUAUAUGCAUUAGUAUCUUAAGUAUCGCAGGGCUUGUCUUCAAAGUUAGCAUCCGGUGUAAAAAAUUUGUUGUAUUUUCAGAACCAAUUAGGUGACAUCCAAUAUGAGCUAACAAAUGUUGAAAUAUAAAGGAAGACUCAAGUAUGAUAUUGGAACAACUGCAGACGUUCUUUCAAGAUAUGAUUUUUGAGAAAUGCACAGAAAAGGGAAGUUUUUGCAGUGUGUAUGAACAAGUUUAUGAACAAGUCUUACACUAUACUUGUUGAAUACUAGGCCUCAUUGCUUCUCAAUUCUCAUAACUUGGAAUCAAGGACAUCCUAAAAAAUUUUAGAACCUCAAGUAUAGAUAAAGCUGAUGACUUGGUUCAGCUACGUAAUUUCUUGUUACUUAUCACAAACGAUACGUUCUAAUAUGUGAUAGUUUGAUCCACACAGUGCAAUUUUAAAUGAAUAACAGCAUUGUUUUAGAAAAUGUAAACAAAAUAGUGAUAAUAAGAAAAAACACUUCUGCUAUUCAUAAAUUGAUCAUGGAAACAAAUUCUAUUGAUUUUGUGUUUCUAAACUAUACAGUAAAACUUCCACUUUAAAUCUCCUAUUUCUAGUAUCUAAGUCUACUAAUUUACAAAAUUUCUAUUCAAGAGACUUUGCACUUUGAUACUACUCAUGAUCUCAAGCGGGAUGUGAGAUCAACAAACACGUCUUCCUUGCAAGGUAUUGUUAGACCACCCAUUGGAUGAUUGAAGCCAAACUGGUCUUCAGCUUGAGUUAACAAGUCUUGAAAUAAAGGUUGGCUCAAGUAAGAUAUUGGCACGACGAAUCUCUUCUUCUGGCUCUCUCCUACAUAUACUGCACAAUGACCUUUAGGAACACCUAAGGAAUUUGAAAAUCUCCUCAAGAGUCUUGUACCUUGAAUAAGGGGACUCAUUUUGAUACCCAUAGUGAGACUCUUUUGUAACUUCAAAAGAUGACUUGAAAGAUUUUGAGAAAUACACAGCAAGUGAAACUUUCUAUGUGUGUGUAUAUAUACGAAGAGGAUUUGGUGGCCACCAGUGAGAGACAUUGGCACAUGAAGCUUCACAUGGUUUUGCUUACUCUAUUAUAUAUCAUCAAGUAUUCAGACAGGAAAUGUGUAGAAGAAUGACAUUAGGCCCCUCUUUUAUUUGAAAUAAAAUCCACAAGAAUCGAUGAGUUGAUGCCGAGAUGGAAAUCUAAAGGUCACCAAUCUACAUGACAAAUAAGAGAGCAGAACAUGGUUUUGUUUCUCAAAUUAUUGCCAUUGCUGAGAAAUACCAAGUAGGCCAACAGGCAUCAGCACAUGGCUUUGCUUAACAAACUUAUCAGCUCAACUUGUAUAAAUAAGCCCUCUUUCAUGAGCCUUUUCAUCAUCAAGCACAAGCAUUAUAAGUUCAGCCAUCAAAAGCCUCUCUAAAUAGCUUUCUUUUUUCUGAUCUUCCAAACAAAAAAAAUGGCAAUAAUCAGUACUAAGAAACUCAUCAAAAUGGUUAAGAAAUGGCAGAAGUUUGCAGCCACGCAGAGGAAGAGGAUUUCAUUUCCAAGAAAUAGUAGUGAUGCAGAUAGUUGCAGUACAUCCACAUCCUCUAUUGUUGAAAAAGGCCAUUUUGUAUUAUAUACAGUCGAUCAAGUACGCUUCGUGAUUCCCUUGGCUUAUCUUGAAUAUGAGUCCAUUCAGCAACUUUUAAACAUGUCCGAAGAAGAAUUUGGGCUGCCGACUGGUGGUCCUAUUACAUUACCUUGUGAUUCAGCCUUCAUGGACUACAUCAUUUCGCUAGUUAAAAAAUGUGUAACUGCAGGAGAUCUUCACAAAGCGUUGCUCCUCUCAAUUCCUUCAUGUUGCUAUUCAACUUCAUAUUCACACCUAGAAAGUGGAAACAAACUACUUCUUGUUUGUUGAGUCAUAAUCAACAUGCUAGCUCAAAAUAGUGUUUAGAUAGGGCAUAGACUGAAGAACACAAUUGUUAAGCACAUCAUACAGAUUGAAUAUUAUUCUAUCAGAAAAUUUACCAUAUAUAUCCACAGUUUUCACUUUUAUAUUUGGUUAUCAGUAGAAUUAACAAUCUGAUCCUGAAUUGGUACCACUUAUGUAUUACACCUCUUUGUUUAUCGCAAGCAUUUCACUUACUGUGGUACCUCCUUCAUCAAAUAAGGUCUAAAUGAUCAAUCAAUCAACUAUGCCUAAUUUUAUGUAUGUUGUAAUCAGGCUUUGAUAAAGUAUCGCGGGGCUUGUCUUCUAAGUUAGCAUCCUGUGUGAACAUUUUAUGGUAUUUUCAGAAGCAAUUAGGUGAUAAAACACUAUGAGCUAAAUUUGAAAUCUAGGGGAAGACUCAAGUAUGAUACUGAAACAACUGUGGACAUCCUUAACGCUAACUGAUGUUAAAAGAAUGAAUAAGUAACACAUAAUCUUGAGAAAUGCACAGAAGAGGAAAGUUUUAUGGCAAGUCUUACAUCUAAAAGUUUAUGGCAAGUCUUACAUCUAAGAGUUUAUCCAAAUAUACAGACACUAAACUUGUUGAACAGUAGCCCUCAUUGCUUCUCAAUUCUUAUAACUCGGAAUCAAGGACAUCCUAAAAAUUUAAAGCAUCAAGUAUUGAUAAAGCUGAUGACUUGGUUCCGCUACGUAAUUUCUUGUUACUUAUCACAGUUAUCAUUCUCAUUCCGUUAAAACGAUACUUUCUUGGAUGGGCUAGUUUGCUCCACAUGACAGUGCAAUUCUAAAUGAAUAACAGCAUUGUUUUAGAAAAUAUAAGCAAAGUAGAGAUUACAAGAAAAAGCACUUCUGCUAUUCAUAAAUGAUCAUGGAAACAAUUUCUAUUGAUUUUGUGUUUCUGAACUAUACAGUAAAUUAAACUUCCUCUCUAAAUCUCCUCUUUCUAAAAUCUAAAGUCUACUAAUCUACAAAAUUUCUUGUGCAAGAGAAUUUUCACUUUGAUACGAUUCAUGAUCUCAAACGAGAUGUGAGAUCAACAAACACAUCUUCUUUGCAAGGUAUUGUGAGACCGCCCAUUGGAUGAUCAAAGCCAAACUGCUCUUCAGCUUGACUUAACAAGUCUUGAAAUAAAGGCUCGCUCAAGUAAGAUAUUGGUACAACAAAUCUCCUCUUCUGGCUCUCCCCUACAUAUACAACACAAUGUCCUUUGGGAACACAUCCGGAAUUUGAAAACCUCCUCAAGAUUCUAGUACCUUGAACAAGGGGACUCAUUUUGAUACCCAUUGCGAGAUACUUUUGUAACGUCAAAUGAUGAGUGAAAAAGAAAAGGAAUGAAGUAUUUUGAGUAAUACUCAGCAAGUGAGACUUGUGUUUUGCAUAGAAAAACUUUCUAUGUAUAUAUACAAAAUUAGUGGUAAGUUUGAUAUUCAAAUAAAAUGUGAAAGAGAAUUUGGUGGCCACUGGUGAUGAGAGACAAUAGCACAUGAAGCUUCACAUGGCUUUGCUUACCAUGUUAUUGUCAAGUGUUCAAACAAUAAAUUAGGCCCCAAUCUUAUUUUACAGACACCCUCAAAAUAAAAUCGAUAAGGAUUGAUGAAUUUGAUGCAACAAUGGAAAUCUAAGGGUCACCUAUCUACAUGACAAAGAAGAGAGAAGAACAUGGUUUUGCUUCUCACCAGCAAUGAAGAAACUUAUCGUCUUUUGUAUUCAAACUUAGUUUCAUCCACAAACUCAAGGCCCCAUCAGCACAUGGCUUUGCCUAACAAACUUAUCAGCUCCUCUUGUAUAAAUAAUCCCACUUUCAUGAGCCUUUUCAUCACCAAGCACAAGCAAUAUCAAUUUAGCCAUCAAAAAUCUCUAAAUUUGUUAUUCACUUUCUUGGUUUUAAUCUUCUAGAAAAGAAAAUGACAAUGAUUAGUACUAAGAAACUCAUCAAAAUGGCUAGGAAAUGGCAGAAGUUUGCAGCAAUGCAGAGGAAGAGGAUUUCAUUUCCAAGAAAUGGUAGUCAUGCAGACAGUUGUAGUACGUCUUCAUCGUCUAUAGUUGAAAAAGGACAUUUUGUAGUAUAUACAGCUGAUCAAGUUCGCUUUGGCAUUCCAUUGGUUUACCUUGAAAAUGAGAUCAUUAGGCAACUCUUGAACAUGUCUGAAGAAGAAUUUGGGCUGCCGAGUGGUGGUCCUAUUACAUUACCCUGUGAUUCAGCCUUCAUGGACUACAUCAUUUUGCUAAUCAAGAAAGGCGUAACUGCUGGAG
rnacentral:lncRNA from 1 species